GGCAGUGUAGCAUAAUGGUUGGAAUGUUGGACUAGGACUCUGGAGACCAGGAUUUGAUUCCCUGCUCAGCCA